AUGUUGUGCUUAAACACAUUGAAAUAUGGAACAUAGAACCACACACGUAUAGAACAGAAGUAAGGUUAAGAAAUAUCUAAGCUCCAAAACAUAGGUACAUCUUACGGACGGUUACCGGACUUAUAAAGUUCAGUCUAACGUACAAAACGAACACUUUGAACGUAGUACAAAUGAGAGAAGAACCGUUUGUUCUUGAUGUCACGUCAUGUUCUUUCCACUUAUGGGUAACGAAAUACAAUUAAAGAAUAAAAAAGGACGUCUGUGGUAACACACUGACUUCAAGGACAAAACAAAUUGAGGGGGCUUUAUGGUCCACUUUCUUUGGUGAGUUAGAGUAACGUAUAACACAUAAGAAAAUCAGAACUGACUACAAAUUUACCAUUAAUAAGAGAUCUAGAAUAAGAUAUUCAUGUUGAGUAUAAAAUAGAGAAUGGAAAAAACCGCCUCCAACAUCCAGUACUCGAACCGGCCGCGUUCUUAUUUGAAGCGUCCAUUCAAGUCUAGUGUCCUUAAUUUAUUCCAGAUACACGGCAUAAUUGUGGGUUCAUAUACAUAACUGUAGCGAAUAUUAAAUAGUCUAUGGCUCUCUACUUGUAGCGAAGUACUUGUACCACUUAAAUCACUGUUGAUUUCAUUUAGGUAUCCGGGUCGAAACUCAGACAUAGUCUUGAUGGCGUAAGACGUAACAUAACGAUGUUCGACAGUUAAUAUCGCGUGUCUAGUCAUGAUUCAGGUUCGGGACUCGAGGAACAAAAAAAAGGAGGGCUUCGUGAAACAGUGACAUUGUUUUAUGUGGUCCAGCGCUACCGACUGCUUCUCUAGAGCCAAAUACCGAGCGAUCCAAGUCGAUCAAGGUGAUUGUCGACAGAGGCUCGUGAACGUAUCCAGUCGACUAUAUGCAGUGCAGGGGAGAAACCAAAAUGAUCUGACGACGUUUUUAUACUAGUCACACUGAGGCGUUAAAAAUAUUAGUUUCCUUCAUGAGUGUAUACAUUUGUGACUAUAUCCCAAACAUCUACGAAUCUCUAUCGUCAUUUACUCAUCAUUAUAAAACUAGGUCUGUCACACUACUAAAUUUGAGACAAAAGAUAUACUGGAAGUACAUCAACUAACGAAACAAAAGUGAUAACGAUGACGUACUAAACAAGUCUCUCUCAACGGUUGACUCGAAUAUAAAAACAAUUGAAUGACUUACUAUUGGUCUGAUUGGAACGGUAGACAAAAAACAGCUUUCUUGAACUUAACAAAAGACUUGAACGUGAUUUAUACAAGUACAAACACAAGGUUAACCUACAAAAAAAAACCAUUGACUAUAAACUAAGGUCUAAUAGAUAAAAAAAAUUCAUCAUGUACAAGUACAAACGUAUAGUCAACCUUCGGUUUUUAUAAAGACAAUUUCAUGACGUUCUAUUGGUCUGAGUGGAAACGUAUAUGUAAAACAAGUUUUUUUACUUAGUACGUGACCUGAACGUGAUUAAUACAAGUACAAACACAAAGGCACCCUUCGUUUUAAGUAAAGACCAUUUAAUUACGUUCCAUUGUUCUGAGUGGAAACGUAUAUAUAAAAUCAACUUUCUCUUAACUUGGUAUAUACAACACAUGGCUAUUUCAAUAUAUAACCAAGGAAGACAACGAAAUAAAUCGAAGAUAACCAACACAAAGAGUGCUUUUGAUUGAAUACAACUCAAAGAUAACCAAUACAGAGACAGGUCCAACUCAACUCGUAUACAUACGGAUGGAGUCAGCUACUCCAAAGAGAUGGAAGCGAGAUACUGCGUCUAACUAAAGAAAAGAUCCGAAAAUGACAUAGUACACCGACAUGGUAACAACGUACAGAGAUUAACAAAUACAACGACUUUAGUGUUGGUGAUUAUGAUACAACAACUAUCUAUCUUCUAAAAUCUUCGCGUAACAAAGUCUUAAUUCUUUAAAUACAGAGACUAUACCUUCAUACAUAAUACAACAACAACGGUUCUAGAUCGUAAGAUUAACAACUAGGAAAAGAUCUCUUAUUCUAGGGUACCAGUAAAUACAACAGUGACGCAUCCGCUUUUAUUAAUACACACCAAAGUACCUGAGAAUGGAAUAACUACCCGUGGUACGUCUCAAACUCCUCUACAUCCGGUCGCACACUGGAGAGAGCGAAAAGUUCAGUGGCGACUCGGCGGAAGAAACGAAGUCUCCGAAGAACACAGUGGUAUCCAAACACUAAGAAUAGACAAUGGGAAACAUCCGGUACAUCUUAUGAUUCUAUUUUAUUAAAAUUAAAAUAGAAAAUAUAAGAAAAUACAAUUUCUCCGAUGUGACAUAGGUCUAGUGACAUAUAAUAGGUCUCACUAAGAGGAAGUAUAUCUGGUCUAAUAAAAGAGGGACAGGUACUCUGCGUGAUAAACUUAUCUAACGGA
rnacentral:rRNA from 1 species